GAGCUCCUGGGCACCUCUGUUCUCUUGGCUUCUGUCCCAGGUGCUGCUGAACGGGAGCGAGGAGGGCAGCGUCCUUGCCCGUCUGCAGUGCGGGGACAGUGGUCUCACCCGCGUCCCGAGGAGGCCAUCAGACCACGUUCCGUCAGCGCGUCAGCCCCACACACUGUGUGCCCCAAUCCCGCAGCGUCUCCUCGCGGGGCACCUGCACCGCCUGGGACCCUGCCAUUUCCCUUGCAAAUCCCCCGAGGGAGCAGCACCCCACGGAGGAAGCCUCCCUGGACCCAGAACAUUCCAGCGCUCGCAGCAGAAGCUCAGGAAUACCGAAUGGGAGGAAGACCCAGUGGGGAACUAAGGGACCUCGCUUCAGAGGCACCAAUGGAACCGGAAGCGGAGAAGCCAGUCGGAAAUGAGCAGGGUGUGGAGUGAGGUCAUCAGAAAAGAUUCAACCUUGAAAAUGGUCA